GGGCAAUUGGUUUAGUGGUAUAAUUUUCCCUUAGCACCUCGUGCACAGCCUGGGAAAGGUCCUGGGUUCGAUUCCCAGAUUGUCCA